AUCCUUUUGUAGUUCAUAAGCAUGAUGAUUGGGUGUUCAUGCCUUCAUGUGACACAUGCCUCCCUGAAACCUUGUUAUAUGACCUCGGCACAUUUCCUGUCUGACA
rfam:Canis lupus familiaris chromosome 11, whole genome shotgun sequence.